UACGAAGGGUGCAAGCGUUACUCGGAAUUACUGGGCGUAAAGCGUGCGUAGGCGGUCUGUUAAGUCCGUUGUGAAAGCCCUGGGCUCAACCUGGGAAUUGCAGUGGAUACUGGCGGGCUAGAGUGCGGUAGAGGAUGGUGGAAUUCCCGGUGUAGCGGUGAAAUGCGUAGAGAUCGGGAGGAACACCCGUGGCGAAGGCGGCCAUCUGGACCAGCACUGACGCUGAGGCACGAAAGCGUGGGGAGCAAACAGGAUUAGAUACCCUGGUAGUCCACGCCCUAAACGAUGCGAACUGGACGUUGGGUGGACUUAGCCACUCAGUGUCGAAGCUAACGCGUUAAGUUCGCCGCCUGGGGAGUACGGUCGCAAGACUGAAACUCAAAG
rnacentral:rRNA from 1 species